UUCUUGGGAGGAGUACGUGUUGGUCAAGUGGGAUUUAAAUUUCUUGGGGUUUUUAAAUGUUGCGUGUUGUCUGUGUUGAUUUCCGAGUGUUAUUGAGUGUUGCUAGACUCCCGAGUGUUGCGUGGCGCCCCUGGGUGUGGUGACGGUGGUGAUGAAGGAGUGUGUUGAAGGUGGUGGUGAGAAUUACUUCGUUUCUCACCAUUCCACCUCGUCCUCCAUCUUCCCUCCUCCCCCUCCUCGGCCUCUCCCUUGGCGUGUUCCCGUGAAGCUGAAGGCAGGCAGCCCUCACUGAGUCAGCCAAAGUUUCAGUUGACAGACAGAUCGGCAUCAAAUUAAGG